UCAAUACUUCAUAGCUUUUCUAUCGAUGAUUCACUUAUUUCAGAAUCAAAUCUAUUUUCAUUUCAGAAUAAACAUUCUUUACCUAUUCAACAUUUCAAACUAUACAUAACUGCCAAUUACAUUUAGCAAAACUAUAUAUCAAUCAUAGCUUUAUACCAUUUCUAAUUCAAAGAAAUGUAUUCAUUUUGCACAUCGUUCAAUCUUCAUCAUCCAUAUAGCAAGUAAUAUCGCGAAACAUCAUUAACCUGCAAAAAGUUUGUGUUUGCAAGAUUGAGCUCGACAGCCUAACAAAUUUAACAGUCUAUCAUGUUUCACAUAUCACACAAUUCCAUAUGCACUUCCUUUACUAUGCAUAUCCGCAUGCAACAUAUAUUCUUUACUAUACAUAUCCUACAUGCAACAAUAAUUACUUACAAAGCAUACAUUCAUUCAUUAUACAUUUCUAAUUUAUCGAGUUACAUUAUAC
rnacentral:lncRNA from 1 species